UUAUUAUAAAUAAAAUCUGCUCAAUGACUUAUUAAAUAGCCGCAGAAUCCUCUGUGCUAAGGUAGCAUAAUCACUUGUCUUUUAAUUAAAGACUAGAAUGAAUGAUUUAACAUUUUAAUUUCUUUUUUUAAAAAAAGAUUAAAAAAUUUAACUAAAUAUAAAAAUGUAUUUAUAAAUAAAUUAGACGAUAAGACCCUAUUAAACUUAACUUUAGUUUAGCUGGGGAAGCUUAUUAAAUACUAUUUUAAUCUAAAAUUUUUAAAAAAAAAUCUAAUAUAAUUAAUUAUAUCAAGUUACUAUAGGGAUAACAGCGUAAUAUUUUUUAAAAGCUCAUAUUUAAAAAAAAGUUUACGACCUCGAUGUUGAAUUAAUAAUCUUUAAAAUGCAUCAAUAUUAAAAGAAAGUCUGUUCGACUUUUAAACAAUUACA
rnacentral:rRNA from 1 species